ensembl:lncRNA
UGAUUUGUGUUUUUGUUUUUUUCUUUUAUCUCGUGGAGAGGGUAUUUUUUUGUUUUAAACUGCAUGUAAUAAAACUUUUUUUCAUUUAAUAUCUGACUAAUUAACGUUUUUUUUUUUAAAUAUAAUUUUUAUAUAUAUAUAUAUAUAUAUAUAUAUAUAUAUAUAAUUUUAUUUUAUUUUCUAUCUAUCGGCAUUAAAAAAAAAAAAAAAACUAUAGCCGUACACUAUGCAUAACGCCAUUAACCCUAGAAAAAGGAAAUUCAAAUCUAUAGACGGUAAUCCCAAGAGACGGCAUAGAUCUGAUAGUGGGGGUAGCAUUAUGGAUUUAGAACUUGAAGAGAUGACAAUGCGGUAUGACGCAACCGGCGAUACGUCUCAUUUGUCGGGCAUAGGUCAUGUGGUGGGUGGGGGCAUGUAUGCAGAAGGUUGUUUAGACAGGCGGGAAAUAUGUGUUGGCGUAGAUAGAACUAGACGGGUGUUAAUUGCAGCUGAUGCAUGGGGUCGUAGCAUGGCUAAUGCUCUAUAUCAGGCAGCACAGAUAAAUGUUUCGAACGAACCAUGUCUAGAUGACGUGGUGGGGCUAGAGGCACCAGGAGAUUUAGACACAAGGGGUGUGUUGUAUUCGGGGGCAAACACACGAGAUGUACUUAACGCUGUCGGGGGGCGGUUGGAUAGUGCACAAGAGAGUCUAUACAUAUCCACACAGAUCGAUGUAUUGCAUGGGUCGCAACGUGAUGAAGGGAUUGGCGCGGGUUUUCAGGACCCCCCGGCCGCGGCAGGGGUCCCUAUAGAGUCGAGGGGUGUGGUGUAUGUGGGGGCAAACACGCAAGAUGUACUUAACGCUGUCCGGGGGUGGUUGGAUAGUGCACAAGAGAGUCUAUACAUAUCCACACAGAUCGAUGUAUUGCAUGGGUCGCAACGUGAUGAAGGGAUUGGCGAGGGUUUUCAGGACCCCCCGGCUGUGGCAGGGGUCCCUAUAGAGUCGAAUAUACAGGUCGGUGGUGGUGGCGGUGGUGGUGGCGUGGGGGGUGGUGGUGGCGGUGAUGGCGAUGCUGUUGUUGACGAUGAUGGCAGUGGUGACGGUAGCGGUGUGGGGGAUGGAGGUGCUGGUGAUGGUGCUGCUUAUGAUGGUACACAGGUGCCUGCUGUAACGGGGGAAGAUAAUGGCGAGUUGCAUACCAGAUUAUUUCCCCGGUUUAACGGCUUUGAGGUUAGACAGUCCAUUGACCUGAGAAGUAUAUCCCUUGCAAAUUUACAGGAGGUCCCUGAUUUGAUCAGGGAGAGGCUGUCAGAUGUCAUAACAAGCUGCUCGCAAAGUGCAGCCGAUGGUAGUGUCUUAAACGUGGUGCUGAGAGGUCCUUCAUUGGCCUCUGAUGUACAGGCUGUGCUCGUAACGGGUGACGAUUACAAUGAGGAUUUGUUUAUGGAGCAUAUUAGCCAAGUCAUACAGAGCAACGACACAGGUCUGACGGAUGAUGUGCUAGAGCUGGUGGUCACAGGGGUCCACAACAAACGGGGUGGGGCACGUUUGAAGUUAAAAAACAUUCCCUAUGAUGAAAUCAUACACAAGAAGAAGCUAAGUCUCUACACACCGAGUAAUACUCACGACAAUUUGUGUUUCUCACUAUGCAUGACACAUUUUCUGCAUGAGGGGGUAACCGGGGGCGACACAGCGGCCAAAGAGACUAAUUUGGAGGCGGCUCGCAAAUUACACAGGGAUCUGGGGUUUGCCCCAGAUCACCCUGUGGGUUUCUCGGAUGUUUCCAAAUUUGAGAGACAUCUAGAUGUUAAAAUCCUGAUAUUUCAUCAUAAUGAUGCAUUCAGGAAGCUGGAGAUGUUCCAGACACAUAC